CAGCCGCCACGGUAAUACGAAGGGUGCAAGCGUUAAUCGGAAUUACUGGGCGUAAAGCGUGCGUAGGCGGUGAGUUAAGUCUGCUGUGAAAUCCCCGGGCUCAACCUGGGAAUGGCAGUGGAUACUGGCUCGCUAGAGUGUGUCAGAGGAUGGUGGAAUUCCCGGUGUAGCGGUGAAAUGCGUAGAGAUCGGGAGGAACAUCAGUGGCGAAGGCGGCCAUCUGGGACAACACUGACGCUGAGGCACGAAAGCGUGGGGAGCAAACAGGAUUAGAUACCCCAGUAGUCCCUGUCUCUUAUAU
rnacentral:rRNA from 1 species